GUCCUGGCAAGGCAAGUUUAUUUGUAGAGCACAAUUCAUACACAAGGCAAUUCAAAGUGCUUCACAGCUGCAUAAAAUUACAAGAAAACAGAUCAAUCAAUAAAACAUAAAAUUAAUUUCAAUCAACAGUAAUUACUUUUAAGGGGAGUACAGUUUAGACUUGAGGCAGUUAUGUGAAUGUGAAUCUAUAUUUGAUGUUUUCUAUUUGCUUUUUCAUAUAAUCGUUCCUCUUCUGUGUUAGAAACGCAUGCAGCAGAUAGUGACCCAGUGCUUUCUGUCGGUCAAAUCCAAGCUGGACUGCAGACCGGGCUUCUUCGACCUGAUCGGCUGUGACUUCAUGAUCGAUGAGGACUUUAACGUAGGCGCUGAGAUAAUAUUCCUUUUUAUUUACCUAUUGUCUCUUGUGUGUAAUCUGUUUGCGGUGUUUUCAGGUGUGGCUGCUGGAGAUGAACUGUAACCCUGCUCUCCAUACAAACUGCUCAGUGCUGGAGGAGGUCAUCCCCAGCACUGUCCACGAGACGCUGGGGCCGAGUUGCGGUGUGAUCCCGGUUUUAGCGCGGGUGUCUGAGUGGGGCGAGCCCUGAGGCAGAUGGUGCUCAGUCUGCAGACAGGAGGAGCACAGGGACGGUCAUGGGGUGCUGCAGCGUGACCCAGCGGCACUGCAGCGGGGUCGAUGAAGUGGGGCCUGAUGAGAUCGAGCUGCUGGAGCUGCCCGUGGACAACCUGGGAGUAUGGAGUGUAGGAGAGAGCCGUCUACAGCUGAGGUCCAGCAGAGAUGAGCCCCCACUGUCUCCUCCAGCCCGCCCCCGUCCUCGAUAUCCUUCUGUCCCACAGCUGACAAAAGAG
rnacentral:lncRNA from 1 species